UGGUCAAGUUAUUAAGGGUGCAGGGCGGAUGCCUUGGCACUAGGAGCCGAUGAAGGACGUGAUAAGCUGCGAUAAGCUUCGGGGAGUUGCACGUAAACUUUGAUCCGAAGAUUUCCGAAUGAGGAAACUCACUUAGAGUAAUGUCUAAGUAUCAUUAAGUGAAUACAUAGCUUAAUGAGGGGAACUCAGGGAACUGAAACAUCUAAGUACCUGAAGGAAGAGAAAGAAAUUCGAUUCCGUAAGUAGCGGCGAGCGAACGCGGAUUAGCCCAAACCAAUAAAGUUUUCUUUAUUGGGGUUGCGGACAUAUCAUAACGAAGAGGUAUCGUAAUUGAAGAGGUUUGGAAAGACCCACCACAGAAGGUAAUAGUCCUGUAUGUUAAACGAGAAGACUUUAGAUAUGAUCCAGAGUACCACGGGACACGUGAAACCCUGUGGGAAGCAGGAGGGACCACCCUCCAAGGCUAAAUACUACCUAGUGACCGAUAGCGUAUAGUACCGUGAGGGAAAGGUGAAAAGAACCCCGGGAGGGGAGUGAAAUAGAACCUGAAACCCUGCACUUACAAGCUGUGGAAGCACAUUUCUUGUGUGACCGCGUACUUUUUGUAGAACGGGCCAACGAGUUACGUUAAGUAGCAAGGUUAAGCACUUAAGGUGCGGAGCCGUAGCGAAAGCGAGUUUUAACUGAGCGUUCAGUUACUUGACGUAGACCCGAAACCGGGCGACCUACCCAUGAGCAGGAUGAAGCGAAAGUAAAAUUUCGUGGAGGUCCGAACCCACGAGCGUUGAAAAGCUCGGGGAUGACUUGUGGGUAGCGGUGAAAUUCCAAUCGAGCCCGGAGAUAGCUGGUUCUCCCCGAAAUAGCUUUAGGGCUAGCCUCAAGGUGAGAGAUACGGAGGUAGAGCACUGAAUGUCCUAGGGGGUAUUGCACCUACCGAAGACUAUCAAACUCCGAAUGCCGUCAUCUUAUACUUGGGAGUCAGACUGUGGGUGAUAAGAUUCAUAGUCGAAAGGGCAACAGCCCAGAUCGUCAGCUAAGGUCCCUAAAUGUAAGUUAAGUGGUAAAGGAUGUGGGAUUGCACAGACAACCAGGAUGUUGGCUUAGAAGCAGCCACUCAUUCAAAGAGUGCGUAAUAGCUCACUGGUCGAGUGAUCCUGCGCCGAAGAUUUCCGGGGCUAAAACUUACUACCGAAGCUACGGCAUCAGUAAUGAUGGGUAGGGGAGCUUCCCAUACGGGUUGAAGCAUGACCGUAAGGACAUGUGGACAGUAUGGGAGUGAGAAUGUUGGCAUGAGUAGCGAGAUGUGGGUGAGAAUCCCACAGGCCGUAAACCCAAGGUUUCCAGGGGAAGGUUCGUCCGCCCUGGGUUAGUCGGGACCUAAGCUGAGGCCGAAAGGCGUAGGUGAUGGACAACAGGUUGAUAUUCCUGUACUACCGAUAACCGUUUGAGAGAAGGGAUGACACAGUAGGAUAAGCUAAGCACACUGUUGGUUAUGUGUGCCCAAGCAUUGAGGCAGUCAAAGUAGGCAAAUCCGCUUUGAUAAUGCUGGGAUGUGAUGGGGAGCGAAAUUUAGUAGCGAAGUAGCUGAUUUCACACUGUCAAGAAAAGUCUCUAUCGAGGUUAAAGGUACCCGUACCGCAAACCGACACAGGUGGGUGAGGAGAGUAUCCUAAGGCCAGCGAGAGAACUGUUGUUAAGGAACUCGGCAAAAUGACCCCGUAACUUAGGGAUAAGGGGUGCCACCAUCAGGUGGCCGCAGAGAAUAGGCCCAAGCGACUGUUUACCAAAAACAUAGGUUUCUGCUAAGUCGCAAGACGAUGUAUAGGAGCUGACGCCUGCCCGGUGCUGGAAGGUUAAGGGGAUCUGUUAGAGCAAUCGAAGCAGUGAACUUAAGCCCCAGUAAACGGCGGCCGUAACUAUAACGGUCCUAAGGUAGCGAAAUUCCUUGUCGGGUAAGUUCCGACCCGCACGAAAGGCGUAACGAUUUGGGCACUGUCUCAACAACAGACUCGGUGAAAUUGUAAUUCCGGUGAAGAUGCCGGAUACCUGCGACAGGACGGAAAGACCCCAUGGAGCUUUACUGUAGCUUGACAUUGGGUCUUGGUACUACAUGUACAGGAUAGGUGGGAGGCUUUGAAACCAGGACGCCAGUUUUGGCGGAGCCAUCCUUGGGAUACCACCCUUGUAGUACUGGGACUCUAACCAUAGGCCAUGAAUCUGGUCUUGGGACACUGUCAGGUGGGCAGUUUGACUGGGGCGGUCGCCUCCCAAAAGGUAACGGAGGCGCUCAAAGGUUCUCUCAGUACGGUCGGAAAUCGUACGUAGAGUGUAAAGGCAAAAGAGAGCUUGAUUGCAAGACAUACAGGUCGAGCAAGGAUGAAAAUCGGACUUAGUGAUCCGGUGGUUCUGCGUGGAAGGGCCAUCGCUCAACGGAUAAAAGCUACCCUGGGGAUAACAGGCUUAUCUCCCCCAAGAGUCCACAUCGACGGGGAGGUUUGGCACCUCGAUGUCGGCUCAUCACAUCCUGGGGCUGUAGUAGGUCCCAAGGGUUGGGCUGUUCGCCCAUUAAAGUGGUACGCGAGCUGGGUUCAGAACGUCGUGAGACAGUUCGGUCCCUAUCCGUCGCAGGCGUAGGAAAUUUGAGAAGACCUGUCCUUAGUACGAGAGGACCGGGAUGGACGUACCUCUGGUGUACCAGUUGUCCUGCCAAGGGCAUGGCUGGGUAGCUAUGUACGGAAUGGAUAAGCGCUGAAAGCAUCUAAGCGCGAAGCCAACUUCAAGAUAAGAUUUCCCACCGCAAGGGUAAGACCCCAGAAAGACUAUCUGGUUGAUAGGUCGAAGGUGUAAGUGCAGCAAUGUAUUUAGCUUAUCGAUACUAAUAGGUCGAGGACUUGACCAAUAUUUAUU
rnacentral:rRNA from 1 species